GACGAACGCUGGCGGCGUGCCUAAUACAUGCAAGUAGAACGCACAGUUUAUACCGUAGCUUGCUACACCAUAGACUGUGAGUUGCGAACGGGUGAGUAACGCGUAGGUAACCUGCCUGGUAGCGGGGGAUAACUAUUGGAAACGAUAGCUAAUACCGCAUAAUAUUAAUUAUUGCAUGAUAAUUAAUUGAAAGGUGCAAUUGCACCACUACCAGAUGGACCUGCGUUGUAUUAGCUAGUAGGUGAGGUAACGGCUCACCUAGGCGACGAUACAUAGCCGACCUGAGAGGGUGAUCGGCCACACUGGGACUGAGACACGGCCCAGACUCCUACGGGAGGCAGCAGUAGGGAAUCUUCGGCAAUGGACGAAAGUCUGACCGAGCAACGCCGCGUGAGUGAAGAAGGGUUUCGGAUCGUAAAGCUCUGUUGUAAGAGAAGAACGGGUGUGAGAGUGGAAAGUGCACACUGUGACGGUAUCUUACCAGAAAGGGACGGCUAACUACGUG
rnacentral:rRNA from 1 species